CAGGAGGCCACUUUUUUAAGGGACAACACUCUAAUCAGCACACUCAGCCUGAGGAUAGAUUUGUACAGCAGUAAAAAACACCAAAGUCCCCAUGUAACCCCUGCACGCUGCCCCCCUGCUUGCAGGCAGUGAGAUGUGUACCCUCCCCGCACAUGCUGCCCGGCCCUCUGCCAGCAGCCAGGGUGCAGCUCAGGGCCUUUCAUGAGUCUCUGGCCCCUUUCUCAGGGCCCCACAUCCCUUUUGCAGCCAGCUCUGCUGUGGCUUCCUCUAAAUUCCCACAGCCCUCCCUCACCAGCAACACAUUGGAGAGUAGGAGACUUUGGACAUUGAACUGGGAGUUGCUGCGCUAAGACAAUGAUGAGCUGUGGUAUACCAAUGGAAUUUAACCUUAUGUCAAAUUUUGGAUCCUUGCAACACUGCUCAGGGACUAUGAAAGGUUCAACCAGAUGAACUUCUGAAGUCCCUCCCAAAAUGGGCUGAUUCAUGAUUCCAUGAUUUAUCAAAGGGAAUUUGGACCUCUAUAGGGCAAGCAACAACAAAGAUUGAAGCAGCAAGCCAAGCUCAUUCCGCAGGUGAUGGAUUUCAGUAGGGCUCUAGAAAAAGUUUUUUGGUCCAACAUCUGUGGAUAUAAUUUUUCCUAUUUUGUUUUACCAAAUGUUCAGUAGAAAAAACCAGAGGAUUUUACGGAAUAACUUAUCACUUAGAGCAACAAUGGGAAGCAGAAUGGAGGUCAUCUUACCAGGUUAAAUAUUUAAUGAAACACAACUUCUAUAUUAAUGGUAUUUCUCCCAUUGAUCUUAAUAAAUGUAGUGAU